rnacentral:rRNA from 1 species
GAUGAACGCUGGCGGCGUGCCUAAUACAUGCAAGUCGAGCGAACAGACGAGGAGCUUGCUCCUCUGAUGUUAGCGGCGGACGGGUGAGUAACACGUGGAUAACCUACCUAUAAGACUGGGAUAACUUCGGGAAACCGGAGCUAAUACCGGAUAACAUGUUGAACCGCAUGGUUCAACAGUGAAAGACGGUCUUGCUGUCACUUAUAGAUGGAUCCGCGCCGCAUUAGCUAGUUGGUAAGGUAACGGCUUACCAAGGCAACGAUGCGUAGCCGACCUGAGAGGGUGAUCGGCCACGCUGGAACUGAGACACGGUCCAGACUCCUACGGGAGGCAGCAGUAGGGAAUCUUCCGCAAUGGGCGAAAGCCUGACGGAGCAACGCCGCGUGAGUGAAGAAGGUCUUCGGAUCGUAAAACUCUGUUAUUAGGGAAGAACAAAUGUGUAAGUAACUAUGCACGUCUUGACGGUACCUAAUCAGAAAGCCACGGCUAACUACGUG